UACAGAGGUCUCAAGCGUUGUUCGGAUUCAUUGGGCGUAAAGGGUGCGUAGGUGGCUUGGUAAGUCGGAUGUGAAAUCCCGGGGCUCAACUCCGGGUCUGCAGUCGAUACGGGCGGACUUGAGUUCGGGCAGGGGAGACUGGAAUUCCUGGUGUAGCGGUGAAAUGCGCAGAUAUCAGGAGGAACACCGGUGGCGAAGGUGGGUCUCUGGGCCGAUACUGACGCUGAGGAGCGAAAGCGUGGGGAGCGAACAGG
rnacentral:rRNA from 1 species